GCCGGAUUAUCCUAAUGGUAAGGAGCCUGACUUGAAAUCAGGUGAUGGUGAAAGCCACUGCGGGUUCGAGUCCUGUGUCCGGCG
rnacentral:tRNA from 1 species